UACAUCGAGAGAGAGAGAGAGAGAGAGAGAGAGAGAGAGAGAGAGAGAGAGAGAGAGAGAGAGAGAGAGAGAAAGAAAGAAAGAAAGAAAAAAAGAAAGAAAGAAAGAAAGAAAGAAAACCGACCUUCGUACUCGUCCAACUUUUGCCCCGUCCUUCGCCUCUCUCUCUCUCUCUCUCUCUCUCUCUCUUUCUUUUUAUCUCGUUUAUACGUAUAGGUCUCGCGCGCGUGCGUUCUUUCCCCCCUUUCCCUUCUCUAGCACCUUACCAUACGAUCACCACCACUACCACCCAGAAUUACCAUCUUCUGCUUAACUUCUUUACUCUCUCCUUCCUCUUCGUCUUACUUCUCUCUCACUCUCUCUCUCCCUCCCCCCACUCUUCUCACUAACCCUCUUCCCCUCCUACCUCGUCCUUUUCCUCCUCGAUCGUGUCCACGCUUCCGGCUGACAGUGCGGUUUUUGAGUUCGUGCGAUUAGGGGUAUAUUCCUUCUUUCUCUCUCGUGAGUUUCUCAGUGAACAUCGCAAGCAUUCAUCGGGCAUUCCAAAUACGGUAGGAAGUCUUGAACGGACGUGUGCGGUCUCUCUACGGAAAAGAUUCACCUCUCGUACUUACACGCGUUUAUAUCCUUUCGAAAGGCUGUCCACGCUAACCGUUUUCGUCGAUCUUUUGCUCCGCCAUGCUCUUGCCAUGCCCUCAAUGCUUUCGAAGAUCGAUCGAGGUUUCACGCGAGUGAUAUUCAUUAUACUGGGAAGCCAUUCGUAGACAUCUUUGGACGCAUGGACAAGAAAGCCAUCGGAGAUAGAUGGUAAUACACGAACGUGUCUCCUACUUGGUGCAUCAGGAAAUAACUGGCGGUCAACAGUGGUGGAAGGUUUCGGAGCAGACGCGAGAUGGAGAAAGCAGAAAAGAUAUGAGGGGAAAAAAAAGAAUGAAAAGAAAUAAAUUGCCACGAUGUAUCAUGCGAUUCAAAGGAAGAAAAAAAAAGAAGAAAAAUUGAGAACUUAAGGCAAAGAAAAUACAGAUGAGUACGCAGGUGAAUGGACGAGGACGAGUUGAUCGAACGAAAUGUAAGGGCGAAGCGACGGCGCAAGCGGGUCCCAGUGAAUGUCCUUGGAUAAAAGGUGUCAUCGUACGGAGUAUCUGUUCACAUCUUACCGGGCAGCAUUGGAUUGAAGUUGAACCUUCUAAUACUGUCAGGUAAAGAUGUCGUCAGGAUUCCGAAAUCAACAUGCCAACAUGGCGACAACCUAGACUACGACGACAACGACAACGACAAGGAUCAUAAUAAGAAUCGACCAAGUAAACGUUCUAAGAGCGUUGCCCAUAGCGAUUUUAUACACACGUUGAGACACACGACGGAUAAUAUUACGUCUGGCUACACGGGUUCAUGCUUCUUAAAACUUCUUAAGUAGCCGAGAAUAACUUUCACAUAUAUACACAUAUACAUAGAUAGAUAGAUAGAUUGCACGUAUGGUAAAUGGUAAUACGAUAAUUAUUAUCCAUACGAUACAUGUACAUAUAUAGAUAUAUAUACAACGAAGUUGUAUUUCAUAGGGUCUUAAUGGAUGAAUUUAUUAGUCGCACGAGACGAUCGAUUUAGGGGUUGUUAUUGACAAAAAAAAAAAAAAACAAAAAAUGGGUCACAACUUUCAACCUUAGAACGGUCUAUAACUAAAUUAUUUUUUGACUCUUGCUUAGUAGCUACACGUGCUGUUUUCUCGUUCUUGUCUCUGAUAUAAAACAUCAAAAAUUGAGUUCUAUAAACACAAUUCGUAGAGUUAAGUGUAUUUUAGUAUUUUAGAAUAAAAUAUCAUUGUUCAAUAUCACAGAAAUACUAAUCGAAAUUUCGUCAAUUAUGUUUAUUUCUUUUUUUUUUAUUUAUUCUUUUUGUUCAAUAGGAUACAAUUAAUAAAUCGUCUAGAUAAAAAACUAUUUAUCCAUUAUUAAAUGCAUAUAAGUUAGGAUUAUUAUAUUUAUCAAUAUACUUUUUCCGAUUGAAUUUUAUCAUCAACGAGCAAGACACGACUCGAUGAAAAGACUAUAGAAUAAAAAUAUAAAAAUGUAAGUCCAUAGUGGAGAAAGAUGCAUUCGUGUAGAUUCGAGAUUUCCUUUCUUUUUUUUCUCUGUUAAGAAGAACCUGUACUAAGCUCUCCGAUAAAUGCGAUCGCAUCGCCGUCUUCGAAAAUGUCGCGACAUCGAAAGGUGCAUCGUAAUGAGCUCCUCACGCCUGUCGUGUUACUCGUGUGCGUGUGUUAUAUAUAUUAUAUAUAUAUAUAUAUAUAUAUAUAUGAAUGAAUGUAUGUAUGUACAUGUAACAUAUUUUCUGCUCUCCCGCGACAACAUAAUCCCCAUCUAGAGUCGAACGUGUGUGAUGAUUCUCUCUUAUUCUACUCUUCUCAUUCAUCAUUUACAGUUUAUUUAUAAGUAAAAUUCUCUUUCUAUCUUUCUCUUGGUUCGGGUAUAGCAUAGUACCGGUUUUCUGUAAAUAUUUUCACUCUGUUUCUAUGCCAGUCUUAAAAAACGAUCGAGUCUUUGGAAUUUCGUGAACCGACAACAGCGCGAUACGUAUUUUCGGUUGAUCGUGGUGGCUCGCGUGAUUCUUGCGGUGGCGGGGUCAAGAGAGAGAGAGAGAGAAAGAGAGGGUGGGAGGGAGAAUGGGAGAACAUGGAGGGCAAAGCGGGGUCGGGGAGAAUCAGCUUCAAGAGAGGAAAAGAACGAGGACGAUAAAUAAGGUGGUCGCUGUCUGCAGGCGCGCCAAGCGCUGCGUGCGCGCAUUCGUACAUAUGUGUGUGUAUGUGUAUUCGUGUAGAUGUUUGCAUACAUGUAACAUAUGUACGCUACUAUAUGCACACGUAUAUAUGUAUAAAUGUAUUACAUAUGUAAGAUACUAGGUACGUACAGCUUGCUCACAUGCUGAGGAAAGGAGAAAGAGAGAAAGAUACUCUCUCUUGUGCAAGUCGAACGACCGCGCACGCAGAAACGGCAGGAGGGUUCCUACUACGAUCCUGUAUCGUGUCGGUAGGAGGUAGAAACGCGGCAAAAGCUCUCCACAGUCGUGUAGUCGUAUGCUUCGGAGUUGCUCGGAGCGGCGAACGAGUAGGCGCGUCAGGAAUGUAACGCCUCAAAAACGAUGCCACGAUCGUCGUAAAGCAUUGCGUGGGUCCGCCUCGCGACGUGGAAAUGAAUACGCCAGUGUAGAAUUAAGAAUGAUCGAAAAAUAGAUUCGAUGUGAAAGGAAUUUCGGUUGUACGUAGCAAUAUGUAUUAUAUAUUUAUCUACCGGUUUUACAAAUAGGGUUAUGUUAUUAAAACAGCAGAAUGAUAUAUACGGCAAUUAAGUGAUGCUCAUAUGAUAAAAGAGUUAUAAAGGUUGAAAUAUUCAAAACGAUUUUUUAUGAAGUUCUCACUUAUCUAACAUGUUUAUGCAAUAUAUAAUAUGUUUUCAGGUCUUUGCUGCGAUGUCUUUUUGUUACUCUUUCUCAAAGAAUAAAUAUUUUCGUAAUAAAUAUUAAUUAUUAAUCCAUAA